GAGGGUGGCAGAGCCCAGCCACCAGGGUCUGCUCCAUGCCUGGUCCCUGGAGAGGCCCUCACCCUCUCUGCUUUCACCCAACCCGACUGACACGGAGUAGGAGGUGGGAAUCAUGCAGGCAGGGAGCUUAGGAAGCCUGGUUCAAGAUUGCUUUGAAUGGCAGGCCCCCUGCUGUGCUCCUGGGGAGAGAGCCUGAAACCUGGAUGCUCGGGAGCCCCUCAGAUCCGUCAUCUGUCCCCGACACCCCUGUGGUGAGCCUUGCCACUGGGCCCUGAGAAGCUCAGAGCAGUCGAGUCAGGGCAGUGGGACAUGACCCAGGUCAGAUGUGGCUUUUCCGUAAUUGUACACCAAUGAUCAAGAGAAAAUGAAGGAUUUUAAUAUCACACACCUACACUUGAUGGCAGGGAAAUAAUUAUUUCCUGCAGAAUGGGCUGCAAAUGUAACAAACCCCCUGACCUUCAGUCUGAAGAGAGAGAACUAUCAACCACACAGAAGCAAAGAUCCAGAGAAAUACUGAGGGAUGCUACCAGACACUCAACCAGGGCCACUCUCCGAGAUUCCAGCCAGCCACACAGCAAAGAUGCUGGCCGGGGACACUGCCCCAAACCACCAGACAGAACCCCAAAGAAACAGCUCCACACACAGUGGAAGAUACACCAGAGACUGUUAGAAGGACCAUCAGACAAAGCCAAAGAGACAGGUAGAUGAAACCAGAUAACCAGCCAGAGAGGUGGUCAGAGAACAGCGACACAAUCAAAGGACCCACCAGAAACACUGUAAAGGACUCAGCUAGACCCAGGCAGAUACACUGCCGAAGGACGAGCAAGGAGCACAGGCAGUGAAGCCGUCGGCGACAAAGCCAGAGAGCUAAGACACUGUCAGAAACAGUGCCAGAGAAACCGUCUGACACACAAGCAGAGAAAUACCAGAGAAACUGAUAGACGCAAACAGGCGUACACCCAGAAAAACAGCUUGAGAGAAGAGCCAGAGCCACAGCCAGAUGCUCAGUCAGGAAGUAUCCACACCACUCCAAACACUGCCAGAGACACUGUCAGACACACAGUCAGACACACUGCCAGAGACACCGUUAUAAAGACUGCCAGAGAAACAGCCAGACACACAGCCAGAAAAACUGACAGAGACGCAGUGCCAGAUAUACCCCGAGAAAGUGCCAGAGACUCAGCUCCAGACAGUGCAGACAUAGCAUAACAGAGACAAAUGUGGGUAUCAGCCUGAAGCAGCUGCGGAGAGGCUGGAGAGCAAUGAACUUCCUGGGGCUUCCUGUGGGAGAGGGCUCCUGCCUGCCUUUUGCUACCCUUGACCCUCUCCAGGAAAGUCCCCUCCUCUGAGCCUGCUUUUCCUUUCCUCCCUGUCACAGCCACAGGUGCCCUGACUGCCCCUCCCUGGCACAGUAAAUCUCUCUGUGUCCUAAGUG
rnacentral:lncRNA from 1 species